GCCUGUUAUCAGCUUCAUGUGGUCUGAGGUGUGAAUAAAUAUGUGUCUGGCCCUGACAAGAGUCUACAUUCCAUCAUGAAGCAAAAUACUCCUGUUGAAGAUGACUACUACCAUCACACACAUGCCAACUUUCUGGUGACCCGGAAUGUUGGCUCUGUAGGUUCAGUUCGAGUACUCUUCUUUGCUGAGCUUAGCAACAAGAACGAUGGCGACCAGGAUAGCCAGCUUCUAUGCUGCCCUGUGGAGUUUCCACUACCAGGGGCUGAACCAGUGCGAUGCCUUUUCUGCGAGCAAGAAGGGAUCAGGAUUGUGCACCCGGCUAGUGGGGAGGGAUUCCAUGGGCACGAGGUGGAGUUUGGGAAGAUGGUUCGCGGGGAAGAUUUAUUCGAAAAUGUCGACUAUCCGGAGGAGUACGACAAUGAUCGCAUACUAACUUAUAGCGAAUAUGUUACGGACACUGUGGCCGAUGGACUCGAUGAGGACUGCAUGUACCUUGGUAGCGAUGACUUCACCAUCAAGGAAUCCGACGGUCAUGAGUCAGAUUUUUAUGGAGAGGAGUAGUAUAUAUAGUGACGGUGUUCUGAAAGGAGGUGAUAAAACCAAACUUCAGGAAACGGUCAAUCAAGGAGUCUUGCAUGUUGCUGAUGCCUGACGCUGUGCUGUAGUUUUUCUGCUCCUUUGAACGCUGUGGUCCUUUGGUUCUAGUUCUCUCUACUGCUUUGAACUCUAAUGUUGUGGUUGCAGGUGGUAGCAGGUUUUCGCCCCUUAGAGUGCUGCGAUGCCGAUCACUCAGAGCGUGUUUUCCCCCAACUUGCCGCCUCUCUUUUCCAGUUUGUUGCUCUUGUAAGAACUAAAUAUACAGGUUGAGCGAUUAAUGGAAAGGGGUUAGC